rnacentral:rRNA from 1 species
UUUUAUGGAGAGUUUGAUCCUGGCUCAGGAUGAACGCUGGCGGCGUGCCUAAUACAUGCAAGUCGAGCGAACGGACGAGAAGCUUGCUUCUCUGAUGUUAGCGGCGGACGGGUGAGUAACACGUGGAUAACCUACCUAUAAGACUGGGAUAACUUCGGGAAACCGGAGCUAAUACCGGAUAAUAUUUUGAACCGCAUGGUUCAAAAGUAAAAGACGGUCUUGCUGUCACUUAUAGAU